rnacentral:lncRNA from 1 species
CCUCUGUAUCUAUAAAAUGCUAUAUCCAGUUUUGUUGGUCAUAUCCAGUAUAUGUAUAGUAUAUGGUGCUCAUAUCUAGUAUAUAGUGAUCGUAUCCAGUAAAUUGUUGUCAUAUCCAGUAAAUUGUUGUCAAAUCCAGUAAAUUGUUGUCAUAUCCAGUUAAUUGUUGUCAAAUCCAGUUAAUUGUUGUCAUAUCCAGUAUGAUGUGAUCGUUUCCAGUAAAUUGCUGUGAUAUCUGAUGUAUCAACCCUAUAAAUCCUUUCAUAUCAUCCAUCUUUUCAACAGAUAAAUUUUAAAAAGGGGGUGGGGAUUCAGUUCCUCAAAAUAAAAUCAAGAUCUAUUAAUUAUAUAUAUAAGUAAUGAUUUAUUGCUGCUGUUGAAGACCAGUCUGGGUUUUUGAUCUAAUAAAAGGACAGCAGUUAAAUAACUGAUUGUUGUUAGAUUUACACUCUGUGUUGAAGGCCGUACUUUGACCUAUAUACAUGUAAUGGUUUAAUUUAACUAAUUGUGACUUCUGUGAGGGUCUAAUUGGCACUCAUGCCACAUCUUCUUAUAUCUACAUAUUAGCGGGUAUAUUCUAAAAUAUGUAAAUGUUUUUCAUACAUUAUCAUAAGUACAGUAUAGUGGACUAAACAGUUAGAAGUUCCACUCAUUGUAAAAGACAGUACUGUGAUCACAAUAGUAUUUACUGCUUUUUCAAUUUAAAAAAUUAUAUAUCAAAGGAUGAUAUGAAGGAUUUACAAUUGGACAGUUUCCCGUUCAAUUUCUUGUACUUGUCAUACAUAAGAAGUGCGGUACAUCGUAUCUGCUGUGCAGUGCUAUAAAUUGUCUCCUGCUUAGUGCUGUAAAUUUAUCUUUAUGAAGAUCAGAUGUAAUGAUGAUUUCUUCUUGCAUAGUUAUCAUAACUUAUCAACAAUUCAGUACCUCUAUUCAACAUUGGCUAAUUUCACUCCGAGUAUCAUUAUCUAGAGUUUGGAAAUGCAAUCAUUUCUAAAACAAGAGUAGACUACUCAAGAGUCCAAAACUUAGCAAUUU